GGAGGGCAAUCUGGCUGUGGCAUCUGCCACCCCAUUGAUCACCAGGAUUGAUUCAGCUGAUCUGGCUGACUAGGUGAGUGUCCCCUUCCUCCUUCACUGCUCCAUGUGUGUCCCACCCAAGCUUCCUGCUCUGUCGAAGAGGACGGCCUUCCCCGAAUAGAGAUGGACAAACUUUGGUUGAGGGGUUGAGGGUAUAUGAGUAGCUGCACUCCCCUGCUAGAACCUUUAAACAAACUCUCAAGAAUAGGAAGACUUCCAAUGAGAGGGGAUGGGAUAUGGCACUCUGGUAGUGAGAACUGUACCCCUCUUAUACC
rnacentral:snRNA from 1 species